rnacentral:lncRNA from 1 species
CUCUUUCCAAAAAAAAAAAAAAAAUCCCAUUGCUGCAAUGGGCAUACAAAUGCUACCCUAUUUUAAAUGUAGGUGGCGUAUGUGUUCGUGUUUUAAUGUAUUCAGAGCCAUUGGGCAAUAAGCAGUCCAGAACAUUGAAAACUCAAGCAGCAGAGAAAUAAACUGGUAGGUGGCAGCAGAGAAAGGAAUUCUUCAGAUUGACGGCUAUUGACAUAAAAUCUGCAUAGGAGAAGAAAUAGAGUAUGGCAUACCAAGUGAAGGAAUGGGAUCAGAAGUAGAAACAAGACCUCAGACACCAGGAUUUUUACUCUAAAUGGUUCUCUUGAAGAGAUCCUUUGCUUACCUCGCUAACAGGAUGGAUGAAGAAGAUUUGAGUCUGUUUUUUCAAGCGAAGAAUAGAAAUACACAGAACAAGAAAGCUAUAACUCUAACCUAUUUUAGUGUUUUCUAAAAUAAAAACACGAACUGGAAAUAGAAUAAUUUGGAG